UACAGAGGUCUCAAGCGUUUGUUCGGAUUCAUUGGGCGUAAAGGGUGCGUAGGUGGCGCCGUAAGUCAGGUGUGAAAUUUCGGAGCUUAACUCCGAAACUGCAUUUGAUACUGCGGUGCUUGAGGACUGGAGAGGAGACUGGAAUUCAUGGUGUAGCAGUGAAAUGCGUAGAGAUCAUGAGGAAGACCAGUGGCGAAGGCGGGUCUCUGGACAGUUCCUGACGUGAGCACGAAGGCCAGGGGAGCAAAACGGG
rnacentral:rRNA from 1 species